CAUAACUAUAUAGUAUUAAACCAUUAACAAACAUAAUUUUGUUCCGCUUCUAUUAUAUAAAUACAAAUUUAUUAUAAAUAAGUAUAUUGGAAUAAAUUUAUAAUGAAAUAUUGUUGAAGGACCACCAAUACAUUGAUUGCAAAUAUAAAACCUUUGUGCCAGUUCACACUGUUUAAUUACUAUAUUGGGAAAUGUUUAGUAUCGCGCCGGUUUAGUAUCGUUUAUGGAGAAAAACAAGGGAGGGCUACCCCCCCUCACGCCCCUCAUUAGAAAGAGGAAGGAUCGAACUUUUAAAUAAACCCUCCCUCGACCCCCUAUAGACCUGUAGGGAGCCCUUUGAAAAUGACCAAAAAUCAGUGUUUUUGCUCAUUUUUCCAUACAAACUGAAACCAAUGCAACCCAGCCAAGAUUUUUGUAUGGACAAGAAAUCAAAAUAAAGAAUGAUACAAAGGGAUCCGGGGUGACCGAAGUACUUUCGUGUAGUACUCCUUUCAGCGUUGGCGGCCUUCGGCCGCGCUCUAAAAAAAUAACCCUGGUCGAGCGAAUACCCGGGGUUACCGAUGUACUUUCGUGUAGUACUCCUUUCUGCGUUGGCGGCCUUCGGCCGCGCUUCAAAAAAAACCCCUGGUCGGUCCAACACCGGGGUGUAUCAAUUUUUUUUCGCAUAGAACUCCUUUUUGCGUGGGCGGCCUUCGGCCGCGAUUUAACCCUUAAAUGCAUGGUUUUUCCUUUUUAAAAACCAAGUGUGUAUUUGUAAAUGGCGCGCCAAGCUGUCAAAUUAUUAAAAUUAAAAAGUGAAAUUUCAUAUCAUGAAAGUUUGCAUUCAAAAACCAACACAGAUAUUUUUAGCACCUAAUAAAAGUAAAAAGUACUGUGUUUGAGUUACCGUUUAGAAAUUAUGUAAGGAAGAAAACACUGAUGUAUAUAUACAUCAUCAUGCAUUUAAAGGUUAAAAAAAUAACCCUGGCCGGUCUAACACCGGCUACGCCAUCCACAGUAUUUUAGCACUGAACACCUUUUCGCGUUCACUUCAUACAUUUGUUGCUAACUGGGUUUAAUUUAUUCCCUUUUGUUCGUGCUUUUUCGGCAAUUUGACAGUUCAAAUUAGGCAGUCAUUUUGGUUUUUCGCUUUAUUGAACUUAAUGCAGAAAAAGGUGUAUUUUAUUUAAAGAUUUACAAAGAAAUUAAGAAUCAAAAGCAAUUAAAAACAUUACUAGUGGUUUUUAUAAUUCAUAAGUAAUAUAUGUACAGUGAGCCAAAAUUAACCGGCGCGAUACUAAACCCAACCCAACUCGACAAUAGACAUUUGCUCGGAGCAGCCCUAUCUUCUAGAAUUAUCAAGAAAAAAUGCAUUACGUAACCGAUGUUUGCAGUGAAGCCAGAGAUAAAGAGAUGUCUAACUCCUCACUGGAAGUGAUGUUUAGCAAUUGAAAAUGAGCGACUGACAGAUUGAAAUCCUACCAAAAAAAAUUGUAAACGGAGGGAUUUGUUGCUUUGUUCAAGACCACUUAUAAAAAAUGAAGAACAAAGAAAAUUAAAUGAAGUUGUGAAAUUUAAAUUCUUUUAAUGAAACAUUUUAUAAUGUCAA